UGAAUACUAGACGCUAAGGCGUCGAAGUAGUGUAUGUCAUACUUCCAAGAAAAGCUUGCACUGUCAUAGAUAAAAAACGCCUGUACCAUAACCGACACAGGUGGGUAGGUAGAGUAUACCAAGGGGCGCGAGAUAACUCUCUCUAAGGAACUCGGCAAAAUAACUCCGUAACUUCGGGAGAAGGAGUGCCUUAUUCGUAAGGUUGCAAUAACAAGAUCCAAGCAACUGUUUAUCAAAAACACAGGUCUCCGCUAAGUCGUAAGACGAUGUAUGGGGGCUGACGCCUGCCCAGUGCCAGAAGGUUAAAGAAGUUGGUUAGCAAUUGCGAAGCUGAUAACUGAAGCCCUGGUGAACGGCGGCCGUAACGAUAACGGUCCUAAGGUAGCGAAAUUCCUUGUCGGGUAAGUUCCGACCCGCACGAAAGGCGUAAUGAUUUGGAUACUGUCUCGGAGAGGGGCUCGGUGAAAUAGACUUGUCUGUGAAGAUGCGGACUACCUGCACCAGGACGGAAAGACCCUAUGAAGCUUUACUGUAACUUGAAAUUGAAAUUGGACUUUAUUCGCGCAGUAUAGGUGGGAGGCGUUGAUUAUAAUCUUGUGGGAUUAUUGGAGCCAUCAGUGAGAUACCACUCUUGUAAUGUUAGAUUUCUAACUUUGAAUCAUUAUCUGGUCAAAGAACAGUUUCAGGCGGGCAGUUUGACUGGGGCGGUCGCCUCCUAAACGGUAACGGAGGCGUACAAAGGUUUCCUCUGAACGGUUAGAAAUCGUAUCUAGAGUGUAAAGGCAUAAGGAAGCUUGACUGUGAGACCUACAAGUCGAGCAGGGACGAAAGUCGGUCUUAGUGAUCUGACGGUACUGAGUGGAAAGGCCGUCACUCAACGGAUAGAAGUUACUCUAGGAUAACAGGCUGAUCUCCCCCAAGAGUUCACAUCGACGGGGAGGUUUGGCACCUCGAUGUCGGCUCAUCGCAUCCUGGGGCGGUAGUACGUCCCAAGGGUUGGGCUGUUCGCCCAUGAAAGCGGUACGCGAGCUGGGUUCAGAACGUCGUGAGACAGUUCGGUCCAUAUCCGGUGUAGGCGUUAGAAUAUUGAGAGGAGCCUUCUUUAGUACGAGAGGACCGAGAAGGACAUACCUCUGGUGUACCAGUUAUCGUGCCAACGGUAAACGCUGGGUAGCUAUGUAUGGAGUGGAUAACCGCUGAAAGCAUCUAAGUGGGAAGCCCACCUCAAGAUAAGUAUUCC
rnacentral:rRNA from 1 species